AUCUACCAUUUAGUGGGGAAUAACUGUUGGAAACGACAGCUAAUACCGCAUAAUAUUGCUGGAUAAUUUCCAGUAAUGAAAGGAGCUUUCAAGCUCCGCUGAUUGAUGAGGAUGCGGCGCAUUAGCUAGUUGGUAGGGUAAUGGCCUACCAAGGCAAUGAUGCGUAGCCGAUCUGAGAGGAUGAACGGCCACAUUGGGACUGAGACACGGCCCAAACUUCUACGGAAGGCAGCAGUAGGGAAUUUUUCACAAUGGGCGAAAGCCUGAUGGAGCAAUGCCGCGUGACUGAUGAAGGUCUUCGGAUUGUAAAGGUCUGUUGUAAGGGAAGAAAUGGUAAAACAGGAAAUGGUUUUAUCUAUGACGGUACCUUACCAGAAAGCCACGGCUAACUAUGUGCCAGCAGCCGCGGUAAUACAUAGGUGGCAAGCGUUAUCCGGAUUUAUUGGGCGUAAAGGGUGCGUAGACGGUUUUGCAAGUCUGAGGUUAAAUUUAGGAGCUCAACUCCUAAUCGCCUUGGAAACUACAAGACUAGAGUAUAGGAGAGGUUAGUGGAAUUCCAUGUGUAGCGGUGGAAUGUGUAGAUAUAUGGAGGAACACCAGUGGCGNA
rnacentral:rRNA from 1 species